AGAGUUUGAUCAUGGCUCAGCCUGAACGCUGGCGGCGUGGCUAAGACAUGCAAGUCGUACGGGGCCGCAAGGCCCAGUGGCGAACGGGAGAGUAAUGAAUCGCUAACGUGCCCCGGACUCAGGGAUAGCUGCCCGAAAGGGCAGGUAAUACCUGAUGACAUGACCCCGUCGCAUGGCGGGGUUCUCAAAGGUCCGCCGGUCUGGGAGCGGGCGAUUUCGUAUCAGCUAGUUGGUGGGGUAAUGGCUCACCAAGGCGACGACGCGUAGCCGGACUGAGAGGUUGGCCGGCCUCAUUGGGACUGAGACACUGCCCAGACUCCUACGGGGGGCUGCAGUAACGAAUCUUCCGCAAUGCACGAAAGUGUGACGGAGCGACGCCGCGUGUGGGACGAAGUCCUUCGGGAUGUAAACCACUGUCAGGGGUUACCAAGUUCUGAGGAGCCCCAGAGGAAGGCACGGCUAACUCUGUGCCAGCAGCCGCGGUAAGACAGAGGUGCCAAGCGUUAGGCGGAAUCACUGGGCUUAAAGCGUGUGUAGGCGGAUCGUUAAGUACCUUGUGAAAUCCCACGGCUCAACCGUGGAACUGCUGGGUAUACUGGCGGUCUUGAGCCACCUAGGGGCAACUGGAACAAGCGGUGGAGCGGUGAAAUGCGUAGAUAUCGCUUGGAACGCCAACGGUGAAAACAGGUUGCUGGGGGUGUGCUGACGCUGAGACACGAAAGCCAGGGGAGCGAACGGGAUUAGAUACCCCGGUAGUCCUGGCCCUAAACGAUGUCGACUAGAUCGUAGUGCCUCUGACGGUAUUACGGUCGAAGCAAAAGUGCUAAGUCGACCGCCUGGGAAGUACGGUCGCAAGGCUAAAACUCAAGGAAUUGACGGGGGCUCACACAGCGGUGAGCAUGUGGUUUAAUUCGAAGCAACGCGCAGAACCUUACCUGGGCUUGACAUGCUAGGAUUAUCCCUAUGAAAGUA
rnacentral:rRNA from 1 species